UACGAAGGGGGCUAGCGUUGCUCGGAAUUACUGGGCGUAAAGGGCUCGUAGGCGGUUUGUCGCGUCGGGAGUGAAAACCCAGGGCUUAACCCUGGGCUGGCUUUCGAUACGGGCAGACUAGAGGUAUGCAGGGGAGAACGGAAUUCCUGGUGUAGCGGUGAAAUGCGCAGAUAUCAGGAGGAACACCGGUGGCGAAGGCGGUUCUCUGGGCAUUACCUGACGCUGAGGAGCGAAAGUGUGGGGAGCGAACAGG
rnacentral:rRNA from 1 species